UGCGACUGAGGCUGACUCUGAGUUUUGUUCAUGUAAGAAGCCCCCAUCUGCUUUAAUGUUUGUGGAGAAGCAAAGGCCACAACACAAGCACGACCAUUGAAAACAUGCCCAUCCAUUCCCUCUUUGCAUGCAGCAGCAGCUGCUGCAUCAUAAAAUUCAACUUGGCAGUAGCCUUUAGAUUUGCCACUAGCUCUUUCAUCAAAGAACUUUAUCUCCUUGACCCUUCCAUAUUGAG
rnacentral:misc_RNA from 1 species